rnacentral:lncRNA from 1 species
GUACAACGACUUUUGACUCUAACGUGGGGCAUGAAAUCUUCAGUUCAACUAGACCAACUAUCAGUGACCUUUGAAAAAUAUUGUAUGAAACUAGUCAAAAUCUUAUAAGAAGAGGAAGACGACUGUCCAUCUUUAGUAGCCAAAACUGAUGAUUAUCAUCUCAUUACCGGUACGUUUAAUUCUUACUUCAUAUCCUUUAUUUGUCUUUCUUUGAAUAUUCAAAUUGAUAGCUUUGCAAAAAGGAGCUCGGUCUCGU